GAGACGCUGGCGGCGUGCUUAACACAUGCAAGUCAAGGAGAACAAGAAUCUUCGGAGUCCUUAGUAAACUGGCGAACGGGUGAGUAACACGUAGGUAACCUGCCCAUAGGAUUGGGAUAACCCUGCUAACGCGGGGCUAAAACCGGAUAAUAUUUAUUUUUCGCAUGAGAGAUAAAUCAAAGCUGCCUUCGGGUAGCACCUGUGGAUGGACCUGCGCCCCAUUAGCUUGUUGGUAAGGUAGCGGCUUACCAAGGCGACGAUGGGUAGCCGGCCUGAGAGGGUGAACGGCCACACUGGGACUGAGAUACGGCCCAGACUCCUACGGGAGGCAGCAGUGAGGAAUAUUGCGCAAUGGCGAAAGCCUGACGCAGCAACGCCGCGAGGAUGAUGAAGCUCUAAGGAGUGUAAAGUCCUGUUAGAAGGGAAGAACAGUACCGAUAUGAAUAAUGUCGGUAUUUGACGGUACCUUCAGAGAAAGCCCCGGCUAACUCCGUGCCAGCAGCCGCGGUAAUACAAGCCGAAUUCC
rnacentral:rRNA from 1 species